GAAAUGCGAUAAGUAAUGUGAAUUGCAGAAUUCAGCGAAUCAUCGAAUCUUUGAACGCACAUUGCGCCUUCGGGUAUUCCCGGAGGCAUGCCUGUUCGAGCGUCGUUUAGACCAUGAGGCUCUGCCUUGCGAUGACACCUGGUACCUAAAGGGCUCCAUCUGUCCAAACUUAUUGGCAUACCGAGGUUGGCCCAGCACAGCACAAUGUGUGAAGGUUGACGGAGGGAUGCCCAUACCACAGCGGUCUUCGGCUUUGCGGUCGAGAAUCGCUUUAAUAGGUCGACCUCGGAUCAGGCAAGAUUACCCGCUGAACUUAA
rnacentral:misc_RNA from 1 species